UUUUCCAAAAUAUUUGCAUUGCAUUCAAGCUUAAACAAUGACAAUUCCCACAACAACUGCAUUACAUUCACUUGCAGACUAAAUAUGAAUCCCAAUUUUCAUUAUCCUAUUGGUGGAACAAAUCACCAAUCUAAUACAUCAACAACAACGAAAAACAUAAAUCUCAGAUUUCGAUAGAGUGAGGUGAGUCAGAUCCUGCCAUUUGAGAGCUUCAAUGUCGGUCAUCACUUCGUAGAGAGUUGGGGAAGCUGAUGAAGGACUCCAAUUUGAUUCAGAGUUGAGCGAGAGUAGAUUCAGUGCACGGCUCCACCUACAGAUUUCUGGUAAAAGCCCAUUAAUGUAGUAGAAAAAAAACAAUAUGAAUUAAAAUAGCAGAGAAAUUGUAGCGGAGGUACUAUCCACGAAAUCGAACUACUCAAGCUUCGAAAUUGAUUAAACCAGAAUCUCACGGAGAGGGAGAAGGAUGAGUACGGAAUUUCCGAAAGCUGUUUCUUAAUUUAUACAUGUUUGAUUUAAGAGAUGAUCGGUGGUUACCUUAUUCGAGCAGCUUUCAGAGACCGUGCAUGUAAACGAUCAACAUAGAAAGAAAUUAAGCACAAGUCGGAAGGUUAGAAACUGAGGAGGAGAAUCAGACGGGAAAUCUAAUCGUUUGAGAAACCUGAUUGAGGGUAGGGGAUGGUGAAGUCGAUGGACUUUCCAGAAUUGAAGCUGGGUUUCAAAAUUUGGAUAUAAUUUAGGUGAAAAUUUGUUAAGAUCAGAUCAACGUUUUGCACAAUUAAAAAAAACAUAUCGGGUAGGAAGAAGAUGGAUGAGUUGGGUCGGUUUUACUGAGUUGGGUCGGUUUUUGGGUCGAGUUUGGUUGUAAUUAAGAUUGAUUUCGGUUUAGUAUCGAAUCUAC
rnacentral:lncRNA from 1 species